CCUACGGGAGGCAGCAGUGAGGAAUAUUGGUCAAUGGGCGCGAGCCUGAACCAGCCAAGUCGCGUGAGGGAAGACGGUCCUAUGGAUUGUAAACCUCUUUUGUCGGGGAGCAAAAGACGCCACGCGUGGCGCUCCGAGAGUACCCGAAGAAAAAGCAUCGGCUAACUCCGUGCCCGCAGCCGCGGUAAUACGGAGGACGCGAGCGUUAUCCGGAUUUAUUGGGUUUAAAGGGUGGGCAGGCGGAAGAUCAAGUCAGCGGUAAAAUUGAGAGGCUCAACCUCUUCGAGCCGUUGAAACUGGUUUUCUUGAGUGAGUGAGAGGUAUGCGGAAUGCGUGGUGUAGCGGUGAAAUGCAUAGAUAUCACGCAGAACUCCGAUUGCGAAGGCAGCAUACCGGCGCUCAACUGACGCUCAUGCACGAAAGUGUGGGUAUCGAACAGGAUUAGAUACCCUUGUAGUC
rnacentral:rRNA from 1 species